GGCCAUAUCACCUUGAAACAUUGGUUUUCGUACGAUCAUCAAAGUUAAGCAACGACGAAUCUAUUCAGUACCUAGAUGGGUGACCACAUGGGAAUACCAGAUGCUGUAAG